AUGAUUGUGUCGACAAUUUUUCUAAAUUUGUUACUGACUUUCUUAUCAUGUGUCCAGUCGGAUGUUGUUUUGACUCAGCCAGAGGCAGAGUCCGGCCGUCCCGCAAGCAGCCUGAAACUGACCCGUAAAACCAGCGGGUUCAAUCUUGGCAGCGACUGGAUGCACUGGGUCCGACAGGUUCCCGGGCAGGGUCUGGAGUGGCUUGUUAGCUACUAUAGCUCAUCCAACAGUUACUAUGCACCAGCGAUUAAGGAUCGAUUUACUUCAAACAACAUUUUAGCGUUGGACAUGGGGAGCCUGAAGAUCGAAGACACCGCCAUCGCUUACUGUGCAAGAAAUGAUAUAGCUCUUGAUUACUGGGGCCAAGGGACCAUGGUGACAGUGACUUCAGUUAAGAACACACCGUCACCCCCCACGCUUUAUGGCCUGGUCUCCUCCUGUCAGGACCACAAAAUCAGUUCUGUGAUCUUUGGUUGUUUCGCGAUGGACUGUUCCCCUGACGUCACCAAGGUAACCUGGAAAAAAGGUGGGGAACUAUUCACGACUGGACUGAAGACUUACCCAUCAGUGAGAAACAAGAAGGGAACCUACACCCUGAGCAGCCAGUUAACCCAGCCCGAGUCAGUGGUAGAUUGCCCCAGCAAAACCUAAUGUGAGGUUCAACACAGCGGGUCAC